rnacentral:rRNA from 1 species
CUGUUAACUGAAUACAUAGGUUAACAGAGCAAACCGGGGGAACUGAAACAUCUAAGUACCCCGAGGAGAAGAAAUCAACCGAGAUUCCGGUAGUAGCGGCGAGCGAACCUGGAUUAGCCCUUAAGCACUCGGUGAAGUAGGUGAACAAGCUGGAAAGCUUGGCGAUACAGGGUGAUAGCCCCGUAACCGACGCUUCAUCGAGCGUGAAAUCGAGUAGGGCGGGACACGUGAUAUCCUGUCUGAAUAUGGGGGGACCAUCCUCCAAGGCUAAAUACUCCUGACUGACCGAUAGUGAACCAGUACCGUGAGGGAAAGGCGAAAAGAACCCCUGUGAGGGGAGUGAAAUAGAACCUGAAACCGUGUACGUACAAGCAGUAGGAGCACCUUCGUGGUGUGACUGCGUACCUUUUGUAUAAUGGGUCAGCGACUUAUAUUCAGUGGCAAGGUUAACCGUAUAGGGGAGCCGUAGCGAAAGCGAGUCUUAACUGGGCGCUCAGUCUCUGGAUAUAGACCCGAAACCGGGUGAUCUAGCCAUGGGCAGGUUGAAGGUUGAGUAACAUCAACUGGAGGACCGAACCGACUAAUGUUGAAAAAUUAGCGGAUGACUUGUGGCUAGGGGUGAAAGGCCAAUCAAACUCGGAGAUAGCUGGUUCUCCCCGAAAGCUAUUUAGGUAGCGCCUCGGACGAAUACUACUGGGGGUAGAGCACUGUUAAGGCUAGGGGGUCAUCCCGACUUACCAACCCUUUGCAAACUCCGAAUACCAGUAAGUACUAUCCGGGAGACACACGGCGGGUGCUAACGUCCGUCGUGGAGAGGGAAACAACCCAGACCGCCAGCUAAGGUCCCAAAGUAUUGCUAAGUGGGAAACGAUGUGGGAAGGCUCAGACAGCUAGGAUGUUGGCUUAGAAGCAGCCAUCAUUUAAAGAAAGCGUAAUAGCUCACUAGUCGAGUCGGCCUGCGCGGAAGAUGUAACGGGGCUAAGCAAUACACCGAAGCUGCGGCAAUAUCUUUUAGAUAUUGGGUAGGGGAGCGUUCUGUAAGCCGUUGAAGGUGAAUCGUAAGGUUUGCUGGAGGUAUCAGAAGUGCGAAUGCUGACAUGAGUAACGACAAAGGGGGUGAAAAACCUCCUCGCCGGAAGACCAAGGGUUCCUGUCCAACGUUAAUCGGGGCAGGGUGAGUCGACCCCUAAGGUGAGGCCGAAAGGCGUAAUCGAUGGGAAACGGGUUAAUAUUCCCGUACUUCUGACUAUUGCGAUGGGGGGACGGAGAAGGCUAGGUGGGCCAGGCGACGGUUGUCCUGGUUCAAGUGCGUAGGCUUGAGAGUUAGGUAAAUCCGGCUCUCUCUAAGGCUGAGACACGACGUCGAGCUGCUACGGCAGUGAAGUCAUUGAUGCCAUGCUUCCAGGAAAAGCCUCUAAGCUUCAGAUAGUCAGGAAUCGUACCCCAAACCGACACAGGUGGUCGGGUAGAGAAUACCAAGGCGCUUGAGAGAACUCGGGUGAAGGAACUAGGCAAAAUGGUACCGUAACUUCGGGAGAAGGUACGCUCUUGAUGGUGAAGUCCCUCGCGGAUGGAGCUGACGAGAGUCGCAGAUACCAGGUGGCUGCAACUGUUUAUUAAAAACACAGCACUGUGCAAAAUCGCAAGAUGACGUAUACGGUGUGACGCCUGCCCGGUGCCGGAAGGUUAAUUGAUGGGGUUAGCGCAAGCGAAGCUCUUGAUCGAAGCCCCGGUAAACGGCGGCCGUAACUAUAACGGUCCUAAGGUAGCGAAAUUCCUUGUCGGGUAAGUUCCGACCUGCACGAAUGGCGUAAUGAUGGCCACGCUGUCUCCACCCGAGACUCAGUGAAAUUGAAAUCGCUGUGAAGAUGCAGUGUACCCGCGGCUAGACGGAAAGACCCCGUGAACCUUUACUACAGCUUGGCACUGAACAUUGAACCUACAUGUGUAGGAUAGGUGGGAGGCUAUGAAGACGUGACGCCAGUUGCGUUGGAGCCGUCCUUGAAAUACCACCCUUGUAUGUUUGAUGUUCUAACUUAGACCCAUUAUCUGGGUUGAGGACAGUGCCUGGUGGGUAGUUUGACUGGGGCGGUCUCCUCCCAAAGAGUAACGGAGGAGCACGAAGGUGGGCUAAUCACGGUUGGACAUCGUGAGGUUAGUGCAAUGGCAUAAGCCCGCUUAACUGCGAGAAUGACGGUUCGAGCAGGUGCGAAAGCAGGUCAUAGUGAUCCGGUGGUUCUGUAUGGAAGGGCCAUCGCUCAACGGAUAAAAGGUACUCCGGGGAUAACAGGCUGAUACCGCCCAAGAGUUCAUAUCGACGGCGGUGUUUGGCACCUCGAUGUCGGCUCAUCACAUCCUGGGGCUGAAGUCGGUCCCAAGGGUAUGGCUGUUCGCCAUUUAAAGUGGUACGCGAGCUGGGUUUAGAACGUCGUGAGACAGUUCGGUCCCUAUCUGCCGUGGGCGUUGGAAGAUUGAAGGGGGCUGCUCCUAGUACGAGAGGACCGGAGUGGACGAACCUCUGGUGUUCGGGUUGUGUCGCCAGACGCAUUGCCCGGUAGCUAAGUUCGGAAUUGAUAAGCGCUGAAAGCAUCUAAGCGCGAAGCGAGCCCUGAGAUGAGUCUUCCCUGAUACUUUAAGUAUCCUAAAGGGUUGUUCGAGACUAGAACGUUGAUAGGCAGGGUGUGUAAGCGUUGUGAGGCGUUGAGCUAACCUGUACUAAUUGCCCGUGAGGCUUAACCAU